CCUACGGGGGGCUGCAGUGGGGAAUAUUGGACAAUGGGGGGAACCCUGAUCCAGCCAUGCCGCGUGUGUGAAGAAGGCCCUCGGGUUGUAAAGCACUUUCAGUGAGGAAGAACGCCUGGUGGUUAAUACCCAUCAGGAAAGACAUCACUCACAGAAGAAGCACCGGCUCAACUCCGUGCCAGCAGCCGCGGUAAUACGGAGGGUGCGAGCGUUAAUCGGAAUUACUGGGCGUAAAGCGCGCGUAGGUGGCUUGAUAAGCCGGUUGUGAAAGCCCCGGGCUCAACCUGGGAACGGCAUCCGGAACUGUCAAGCUAGAGUGCAGGAGAGGAAGGUAGAAUUCCCGGUGUAGCGGUGAAAUGCGUAGAGAUCGGGAGGAAUACCAGUGGCGAAGGCGGCCUUCUGGACUGACACUGACACUGAGGUGCGAAAGCGUGGGUAGCAAACAGGAUUAGAUACCCUGGUAGUC
rnacentral:rRNA from 1 species